rnacentral:rRNA from 1 species
CCCGGUGCCGGAAGGUUAAGAGGAUCCGUCAGUCCUUCGGGAUGAAGCGGUGAAUUCAAGCCCCGGUAAACGGCGGUGGUAACUAUAACCAUCCUAAGGUAGCGAAAUUCCUUGUCGGGUAAGUUCCGACCUGCACGAAUGGCGUAACGACUUCCCCACUGUCUCGACCAGGAGCUCGGCGAAAUUGCAGUACGAGUAAAGAUGCUCGUUAAGCGCAGAAGGACGAAAAGACCCCGGGACCUUUACUAUACCUUGGUAUUGGCGUUAGGCGCGGAUUGUGUAGCAUAGGCGGGAGGCUUCGAAGCGGGUGCGCCAGCAUUCGUGGAGCCGCAAGGUGAAAUACCGCUCUGUUCUCGUUUGACGUCUAACCUCGACAAGUCAUCCUUGUCAGGGACAGUGCCUGGCGGGUAGUUCAACUGGGGCGGUUGCCUCCCAAAGAGUAACGGAGGCGCUCAAAGGUCCGCUCAGCCCGGUUGGCAAUCGGGUGUCGAGUGUAAUCGCACAAGCGGGCUUGACUGCGAGGACGACGGUCCGAGCAGGGACGAAAGUCGGAGAUAGUGAUCCGGUGCCGGCGCACGGGCGCGGCAUCGCUCAACGGAUAAAAGGUACCCCGGGGAUAACAGGCUGAUCAUUCCCAAGAGUCCAUAUCGACGGGAUGGUUUGGCACCUCGAUGUCGGCUCGUCGCAUCCUGGGGCUGGAGCAGGUCCCAAGGGUUCGGCUGUUCGCCGAUUAAAGCGGCACGCGAGCUGGGUUCAGAACGUCGUGAGACAGUUUGGUCUCUAUCCUCUGCGCUCGUUGGAAUCCUGAGGAGGCCUGCCCAUAGUACGAGAGGACCUGGGUGGACGAACCUCUGGUAUGCCGGUUGUCGCGCCAGCGGCACGGCCGGUUGGCUACGUUCGGGAGGGAUAACCGCUGAAAGCAUCUAAGCGGGAAGCCUGCUCCAAGAUUAGGAUUCCGUACGGUCUUGAACCGUUGUAGCCCGCAUGUUGAACACGUGUUUGAUAGGCCGGAGGUGGAAGCCCCGUGAGGGGUGGAGCCGACCGGUACUAACGGGCGACGGCGACACAAC